rnacentral:rRNA from 1 species
AGCGCGGGGCAACCUGGCGGCGAGUGGCGAACGGGUGAGUAAUAUAUCGGAACGUACCCUGGAGUGGGGGAUAACGUAGCGAAAGUUACGCUAAUACCGCAUACGAUCUAAGGAUGAAAGUGGGGGAUCGCAAGACCUCAUGCUCCUGGAGCGGCCGAUAUCUGAUUAGCUAGUUGGCGGGGUAAAAGCCCACCAAGGCAACGAUCAGUAGCUGGUCUGAGAGGACGACCAGCCACACUGGAACUGAGACACGGUCCAGACUCCUACGGGAGGCAGCAGUGGGGAAUUUUGGACAAUGGGCGCAAGCCUGAUCCAGCAAUGCCGCGUGAGUGAAGAAGGCCUUCGGGUUGUAAAGCUCUUUUGUCAGGGAAGAAACGGUGGGGGCUAAUAUCCCCCGCUAAUGACGGUACCUGAAGAAUAAGCACCGGCUAACUACGUGCCAGCAGCCGCGGUAAUACGUAGGGUGCAAGCGUUAAUCGGAAUUACUGGGCGUAAAGCGUGCGCAGGCGGUUUUGUAAGUCUGUCGUGAAAUCCCCGGGCUCAACCUGGGAAUUGCGAUGGAGACUGCAAGGCUAGAGUUUGGCAGAGGGGGGUAGAAUUCCACGUGUAGCAGUGAAAUGCGUAGAUAUGUGGAGGAACACCGAUGGCGAAGGCAGCCCCCUGGGUCAAAACUGACGCUCAUGCACGAAAGCGUGGGGAGCAAACAGGAUUAGAUACCCUGGUAGUCCACGCCCUAAACGAUGUCUACUAGUUGUCGGGUCUUAAUUGACUUGGUAACGCAGCUAACGCGUGAAGUAGACCGCCUGGGGAGUACGGUCG